UAUAUGAUGGAAAUCCAAGGGGUGCCCUGGCAUCUUGAAGUGUACAAGCUGCGAAAAUAUAUCUAAUGGCCCUGCAUCAGUUCUGUAUAACAGAGUUGCUCUUAGGGCCCUCAACAGGACAUACUCUAAUUACUACAAAAAGAAAACAAACUAUACCUACUGAUAAACAGACAAUUUAUUUGAUAUGUGUCUACAAUGAGGCAAGCUGUGUUAAAAAUCUUGGGAACUCAAAAUAUUCCCUCGUGAAACCAACUCAUUUUCAAACUGAUGUGCAAUGUGGGCACUGGAAUCCUUUGGCAGUCCUUGUUUAUGAUGACAACCCUGGUGACCUGAUAUGAGCUUGUAUAUAUAAAAUGAAGAAGAAAAUUAAAUGAUUCUCCUUGAGAAUUUACAGAUUACUAGAAGACAUUUAUUCAGUGUGAGAAACAUGGACCCUCAGCAAAGGUACCAACCGUCUCUGCUGUUUAACCAGCUGUUCUGGAACAGACCAUGGCCUUUGCCUGGAGUGAGGAUGACUGAGAAGGAUGAUUGGGACUCAAUUCUAGAUGGCUUUUACUUUGAUUUUCUUUCCAAGAAACAAAUAAACAAAGCAGCUGAUGCAAUGAAAUAAGGAAAUAGGUAUGUGGAUACAAGUACACACUUUGACUAUUACACAUCACCUAGGUGCUUCCAAGUUUGGCGAUCUUGGCAAUCCAUUGGAAAUGAAACGCAGCUGAGUCAGAGUGUGGGCCUAUGGGCUUAUGGCCUUUUAUGUCCCCAGUAGUCAUGUUCGCACGCAGAAGCAACUUACACUAUCUUUAAAGUUACUAAUUCCAUUAUUUAGAAACCUGCAUCGCCAUGCCAUCUCUGCAGGGCCUAGGAGGUUCACUUGUAUGCAUACUGAGGCAUAGCUGGAGCUGUCAUACCAAUAGUAAUCCAAUAUCCUGUUUCCCUCUUUAUCAUCACAUGG